UCUCUAUUGUAAUUUAGGUUUUGCCUGCUCAUCCCUAAAAACAACAAAUGAAACCCCCCUUAUAAGGUUGAAAUCUGAAGAAUUGAAAGAACGAGGGUUUCAAGGAGCGAUAGUUGCUCUUGAAACCCUAGUUCUGUCUCCUUCACCCUUCUUCUCAAACCAUCGUUCUUCCUCCUGCCCUCUCUUUCAAGGGGAGAGAUAGAGAGAUCCGCUCACAGGUUGUUUGUCGUUCACAUUUUCCGUCGAUGUCGUCAUCCGCCAUUUUCCCAUUCUGAUCUCAACCGACGAACAUGUGUGUCUCGCUUUCUCUUCCUCCUCAUCGUCAAUGGACUUCCCACUCACGGAUAUAAUGUGAGAUUGUUGGAGAGAGCUUGAGUAUAUACCUGGGGUUUCUUUACUAGACCCCCAUCACGAACCUGAGGAAGAGUUUAAAAUCUAGAACUAUGAUUUUCAAACCAUUGGUUGAAUUUGGGAAGAGUUGGUUGGCUCUCGUAGCGUGGUGAUGGCAAGCCAUCU
rnacentral:lncRNA from 1 species